GGCCUUGUCUUUUUGCAUCUCUGUCUAAAUCUGACGCAAAUUUUCGCCUGAGUUCUGCCCAGCCAGCCCCAAGUCUGGUGCUCAGGAGGUGGAGAACUCGCCCUUGCGAUCAGUGGUCAAAAGACUGCUGCUUGGGCUUCCCGCCGGGAGCUGCUCCCUGCCGCUCCCGGGGUCUCUAGCAGCCGCGGCUGGUCCCAAGUUCACUGAAUCAGGAACUCUGUGAGGGUCCAAGCAGUCGGGGUGAAUCGGCUGCAGGCAAGAGUUGAAGAGCCAUUCUCGUACUUAAUCGGCCUCCAAAAGCAUCCUCUGCUCUUUCCGGAAAGGAAAAGCAUCCCUGACAUUCGGUCACGGGGACGUGAGCCUCAACCUCGUCUCUGAGCGGGUCUGUGGAUUUCGGUUUGUUUGGGAAUAUGGAGGAAGAGAGAAGAGCUGCUGAGUUACAGAAAAAUGUGAUACAGGACACAGUGGUCUUCGAGGAUGUGGCUGUGGACUUUACCCAAGAGGAGUGGGCUCUGCUGAAUCUCGCUCAGAGAAACCUCUACAGAGAUGUGAUGCUGGAAAAUUUCCGGAACCUGGCCUCAUUAGGUAAGAAUGGCAACAUUCUUCCAACAUUCUGUUAUUUAGAAAACAGCUUUUUCUUAUAAAUUGCCCUUUUUCUAGGAUUUGGGUUGAAAAACUGGAAUAAAUUGUUAAAUAAGACAGACAUGGUCACUGACACCAAGUAGCUUAUGGUUUAGUGGCUUCACCAUGAAAAUAAACAUGUGUAUUGUUAAAAUAGUUCACCAAUAUAAAACAAGCAAAAGAAUUAGUGAAAAUUUCCUUACCCAUUUUGCCACUGGCACUGAAUACAGAGUUUUCAUUUUCUCAGG